GCCGACAAUACUUAGGAGAUAUGUGGCUAUCUGAAAAUGGAUCCUGCAAGACCUUAGAAGAACUCUGGGAUGGAGAUGUUUGAAAAUUUCUUCAAUGUCCUAUCUAUAAUGUAGUAUAUGAAUUAGCAAAAUAAUGUUCAUAUGAUAUGAUUUAAAUUUCAUAUGAUUAUGUAUUAGCUUCUCUUAUUUCACAAUGUUUCCUUGCUUAAGACCUUGAGUUGAACCAGAAUAUGACUGUGACAUUCAAAGAUGUAAGGCCUAUGUGGCUCUUCAUAUUUGUUCAAAUUCCAAAUAAAAUGUUUAUUAUUC
rnacentral:lncRNA from 1 species